UAUCCAAAUUAGGUGCUCAAUAAUAUCAUUAUAUAAAACCUUCAUGUUGUUCAAACAGAUUUAAAACUAGAAGUGUGAUGGCAUAUCUGCUGUUGAGGAAUGUUAGGGAAAAUCUCAUUUGGCAGAGACGAGUAACCGGAGAGCUUGACCAUGCAUGGCUCUUGUUUGCCAAAGAAGAUUUGCCCUGCCAUUUUUAACAGCUUUUGAUUAACACUAAUGCGUCCGAUUCUUGAGUGAUAUGUUGAAGAAUGAUAAAAGAUUGUCCAAAGAACCCAUAAGAAGAAUGAACUAUAUUGUGAGCAGUCUGCUGUUUAUUUGUGAGCAGUAGUGCACAAAUAUUAUUCUAUCAUAUUAAUAAAGAAUUAUAGAUUUGUCAAACA